rnacentral:sRNA from 1 species
UGUCAUCGCUUACACUAUUAUUUGUAGUC